rnacentral:rRNA from 1 species
AGCCAGACUCCUACGGGAGGCAGCAGUGGGGAAUAUUGCACAAUGGGGGGAACCCUGAUGCAGCGACGCCGCGUGAAGGAAGAAGUAUUUCGGUAUGUAAACUUCUAUCAGCAGGGAAGAAAAUGACGGUACCUGACUAAGAAGCCCCGGCUAACUACGUGCCAGCAGCCGUGGUAAUACGUAGGGGGCAAGCGUUAUCCGGAAUUACUGGGUGUAAAGGGAGCGUAGACGGUGAAGUAAGUCUGGAGUGAAAGGCGGGGGCCCAACCCCCGGACUGCUCUGGAAACUAUUUGUCUGGAGUGCAGGAGAGGUAAGCGGAAUUCCUAGUGUAGCGGUGAAAUGCGUAGAUAUUAGGAGGAACACCAGUGGCGAAGGCGGCUUACUGGACUGUAACUGACGUUGAGGCUCGAAAGCGUGGGGAGCAAACAGGAUUAGAUACCCCCGUAAC